UUUUUCGAUAUCUUUCGACGAAUUUUAUCGCGAUCUAACGAUUUCUCUCACAAUCGGUAACCACUCUAAGUUUUAUAGCGUAUAUCUCGAGUAACACUUGAGGGUGAAAACGCGUUGCCGCGGUAGAUUCAUCCCCAGGAUAUGGAAACGUACGUAACGUGAUGUUACGAGCUGCUGCGGCACCCUACGAUUCAUACGUAGCGCGUGAUAAAUGAAAUGAAAAUUCUACUCCACCGUCUCGCGCUCAACCCUAUCUCUUUACACGGUUGCGAUUAAAGUUAGAAAAGUGUAAACCAAGAGCGAAAAUAUCUGUGCUACGUAUCGGAUCCUGGACAAUAGCCCAAUCAAUAGAAAGGAUACCGUGUACCACGCGCGUGAUGCACCAUACCGAAAUAUUCUGCCGGUGAAAAAGAGUUGAAAGCGGCUAAAAUUCAAGAGAAUC
rnacentral:misc_RNA from 1 species